rnacentral:rRNA from 1 species
GACGAACGCUGGCGGCGUGCUUAACACAUGCAAGUCGAACGGAAAGGCCCUGCUUUUGUGGGGUGCUCGAGUGGCGAACGGGGGAGAAAAACGUGAGUAACCUGCCCUUGACAUUGGGAUAACUUCAGGAAACAGGGGCUAAUACAGGAUAGGAGCUCCUGCUGCAUGGUGGGGGUUGGAAAGUGUCGGCGGUUGGGGAUGGACUCGCGGCUUAUCAGCUGGUUGGUGGGGUAGUGGCUUACCAAGGCUUUGACGGGUAGCCGGCCUGGGAGGGUGACCGGCCACCUUGGGCCUGCGAUACGGCCCAGUCUCCUACCGGACGCAGCGGUCGGGAACCUUGCGCAACGGGCGGGCGCCUGAGGCGGCAACGCCGCGUUCGGAAUGCCGUCCUACUGGUUGUAAACCGCUGUCUCCGGUGCCGUGGCGUUAUUGACGGUACUUGGUCAGGAAGCCCCGGCUAACUACGUG